rnacentral:rRNA from 1 species
UACGUAGGGGGGCGAGCGUUACCCGGAUUUACUGGGCGUAAAGCGCGUGUAGGCGGCUGGUCAAGCGUGGUGUGAAAUCUCCGGGCUCAACCCGGAAACUGCAUUGCGAACUGACCUGGCUGGAGUGCAGGAGAGGGCAGCGGAAUUCCCGGUGUAGCGGUGAAAUGCGUAGAUAUCAGGAGGAACACCAAUGGCGAAGGCAGCUCGCUGGGACGUGACUGACGCUGAGACGCGAAAGCGUGGGGAGCAAACAGG